rnacentral:rRNA from 1 species
CAGCAGCCACGGUAAAACGAAGGGUGCAAGCGUUAAUCGGAAUUACUGGGCGAAAAGCGUGCGUAGGCGGUUUGUUAAGUCUGUUGUGAAAUCCCCGGGCUCAACCUGGGAAUGGCAAUGGAUACUGGCAAGCUAGAGUGUGUCAGAGGAUGGUGGAAUUCCCGGUGUAGCGGUGAAAUGCGUAGAGAUCGGGAGGAACAUCAGUGGCGAAGGCGGCCAUCUGGGACAACACUGACGCUGAGGCACGAAAGCGUGGGGAGCAAACAGGAUUAGAGACCCGCGUAGUCCCUGUCUCUUAUAC